rnacentral:lncRNA from 1 species
AAAUUUGUUUAAAUGUAAACGUUUAGUUAUUUUUUGGAAGGUAUAAUGCCUCUGCUACAUACAUAUGGGCUUAUUUUGGCAUUGCAAUGCACAUAUAUCGGGUACUUGCAUCAUUAAGUCAUGCUAAAUUACUGAAAUCUUCACAAUUUCAGCAUUUUAGUUAAAUUUUAGACGGUUUCCGUCUUAAUUGAAAGUGGCCGCAUUCGUGUUCAUUCUUGAUAUUGAAAUGUAAGUUGUGUUUAAUGAUAAAACAUAACAUAUAUAAAGCUCGAGGAUGAACACGGACGCGGCCAC